rnacentral:misc_RNA from 1 species
GCUCAGCGCCCGACCUCCACCCUUUGUUGUUAAAACUACCUUGUUGCUUUGGCGGGACCGCUCGGUCUCGAGCCGGUGGGGAUUCGUCCCAGGCGAGCGCCCGCCAGAGUCAAACCAAACUCUUGUUAUUUAACCGGUCGUCUGAGUUAAAAUUUUGAAUAAAUCAAAACUUUCAACAACGGAUCUCUUGGUUCUCGCAUCAAUGAAGAACG